rnacentral:rRNA from 1 species
AUGCAGUCGAGGGGCAGCACAAUGCGUUAGCAAUACAAAUGGUGGCGACCGGCGCACGGGUGAGUAACACGUAUGCAACCUACCUAUAAGUGGGGAAUAACCCGGAGAAAUCCGGACUAAUACCGCAUAAUACUUGUUAAUCUGCAUGGAUUACAAGUUAAACAUUUAUGGCUUAUAGAUGGGCAUGCGUAUGAUUAGUUAGUUGGUGAGGUAACGGCUCACCAAGACAUCGAUCAUUAGGGGUUCUGAGAGGAAGGUCCCCCACACUGGUACUGAGACACGGACCAGACUCCUACGGGAGGCAGCAGUGAGGAAUAUUGGUCAAUGGGCGAGAGCCUGAACCAGCCAAGUCGCGUGAAGGAAGACGGUUCUAUGGAUUGUAAACUUCUUUUGUAAGGGAAUAAAGUUCACUACGUGUAGUGUUUUGUAUGUACUUUACGAAUAAGGAUCGGCUAACUCCGUGCCAGCAGCCGCGGUAAUACGGAGGAUCCAAGCGUUAUUCCGGAUUUAUUGGGUUUAAAGGGGUGCGUAGGCGGACCCAUAAGUUCAGUGGUGAAAGUUUGCAGCUUUAACUGUAAAAAUUGCCGUUGAAACUGUGGGUCUUGAGUGUAAAUAAAGUAGGCGGAAUGUGUUGUGUAGCGGUGAAAUGCUUAGAUAUAACACAGAACACCAAUUGCGAAGGCAGCUUACUGGGAUACAACUGACGCUGAGGCACGAAAGCGUGGGGAUCAAACAGGAUUAGAUACCCUGGUAGUCCACGCAGUAAACGAUGAAUACUAGCUGUAUGCGAUAUACUGUAUGUGGCACAGCGAAAGCGUUAAGUAUUCCACCUGGGGAGUACGUUUCGCAAGAAUGAAACUCAAAGGAAUUGACGGGGGCCCGCACAAGCCGGAGGAACAUGUGGUUUAAUUCGAUGAUACGCGAGGAACCUUACCCGGGCUUGAAAUGCAUUCUGACCGACUUGGAAACAGGUCUUCUAGCAAUAGCAGAUGUGUAGGUGCUGCAUGGUUGUCGUCAGCUCGUGCCGUGAGGUGUCGGCUUAAGUGCCAUAACGAGCGCAACCCCUAUCAUUAGUUACUAACAGGUCAAGCUGAGGACUCUAAUGAGACUGCCACCGUAAGGUGUGAGGAAGGUGGGGAUGACGUCAAAUCAGCACGGCCCUUACGUCCGGGGCGACACACGUGUUACAAUGGGGGGUACAGAGGGUUGCUACUUGGUGACAAGAUGCUAAUCUCUUAAAGCCUCUCUCAGUUCGGAUCGAAGUCUGCAACUCGACUUCGUGAAGCUGGAUUCGCUAGUAAUCGCGCAUCAGCCAUGGCGCGGUGAAUACGUUCCCGGGCCUUGUACACACCGCCCGUCAAGCCAUGGAGGCUGGGGGGACCUGAAGUACGUAACCGCAAGAGCU